AAGAAGUUAGUUUAAAAAAAACCAAUGAUUUCGACUCAUUAUUUCUUAAAUAUUUUAAGACUUCUUC
rnacentral:tRNA from 1 species